AGCGAACGCUGGCGGCAGGCCUAACACAUGCAAGUCGAACGAACCUUUCGGGGUUAGUGGCGGACGGGUGAGUAACACGUGGGAACGUGCCUUUAGGUUCGGAAUAACUCAGGGAAACUUGUGCUAAUACCGAAUGUGCCCUUCGGGGGAAAGAUUUAUCGCCUUUAGAGCGGCCUGCGUCUGAUUAGCUAGUUGGUUGAGGUAAUGGCUCACCAAGGCGACGAUCAGUAGCUGGUCUGAGAGGAUGAUCAGCCACAUUGGGACUGAGACACGGCCCAAACUCCUACGGGAAGCAGCAGUGGGGAAUCUUGCGCAAUGGGCGAAAGCCUGACGCAGCCAUGCCGCGUGAAUGAUGAAGGUCUUAGGAUUGUAAAAUUCUUUCACCGGGGACGAUAAUGACGGUACCCGGAGAAGAAGCCCCGGCUAACUUCGUG
rnacentral:rRNA from 1 species